GUAGGAAAUUGGAUUUAUACGUGUUUUUCUUAUGCAAAUGACUUUGUAUAAUUUGCAUAAAACUGCCGUUUAAAAAUACGGUGAAUGAAAUGUAGUUCCUCGAUUUAUAAGUUUGUUUUGGUAUCUUGAGGAAGAAUUGUUAUAUUGUGAGUCUAUGUAAAAAAGGAAUAAGAUUGCAUAUAAUGUGUAAUAACUUAAUUUUACUUUAUUCAAAAGGUGUUUGUACAAGAAUAGCAAAAAGAGGAAGGAUAUUUUGUUUAUAGAAUUGUGAUAGGUCUUUAUAUGUGGGCGCGGGAAUCUGCCUGACAUAGCAGAUACGUAGGCACACAUUGCAUCUUGCCACGGGCGAAGGAGGUGGUGCGUGUGUCGGGCUGUCUAUUAGUGUGCAACGCCCUUGUUACAUUUUACACCUUUGAACGAAAUGACAUGCUAGCGAGGUUUGCUGGGAGCUGUCUUUAAUAGUGUGGUCUAGCUGGGACUGCAUGUGUUGUCUUUUGGGAGCCGGGAGCUGCUCCGGCUUGUUGCUUCAGAGACCUUGGGUAGGAUAUGAUUUAAUACACACAUUGUUUAAUUGGUAUAAUGUUGUUUAUUAAUGCAUUUUGAAUAUGUACUUUCAUAUAAUAUGUGUUAAUUAAAGACAAUGAUAUUGUCUUAAUUAUUAUAUUAUCAUUGAUGUAGAAUACAUUAAUGCCACAGUUUAUGUAAUGUAAACCAACAGCGUGAUAAUUUACUGUCUGUUUAUCUCGCCCACAUUGUUGUAUACUAUGAAUCAGAUAUAUGUUGAUAAGAAUCUAUACUUGUCUUGUAUUUAUGUUUGGCACAUCUGAUUGAUUUGCAGGGUUUUCUUUAUGCGAUGAUGAUGAUCAACAAAUAAAUGGGCUCAUCACCCAACCUACCAUCAA